AAAUGGGAGUUUCCCUGCACAAGCUCUCUCUCUUUGCCUGCCACCAUCCAUGUAAGAUGUGACUUGCUUCUCCUUGCCUUCUGCCAUGAUUGUGAGGACUCCCCAGCCAUGUGGAACUGUACAGACAGUGCAAAGGUGGUGUGCCUAGUGAGCUUGGAUGUAUCAAACAGCUGUAAGAAAAUCUCUCCAACCUUCUCUGAAUAAAGGAGGAAUGUGGUGUUUAUUGAGGAACAGGCAACCCUUACAUUUGAAUAAAAGAUGCCAUAUAACUACUGUACCAGUCCUUUUGCUUUGGCUAUGAAAUCUGUUUGAGCUGAAUGAGGCAACACUGGUUAUUAAGGCUUAUUUCUAUGAUGGAGUAUUAUCCUUAAAUCUGAUGCCAUUUCCAGAGAACGUGCACAUAGUGGCCCUAAAGGCAUAGGAUAUUCUGAAGAGGUACCUUGUCCAUCUGAGUUAUCGGAAGUCAAGCCGUUAGGACUGUGCUCUUCUGAGCUCUGCCUGUAAAGCCCUGCAGACAACCUCCUCUCGGCAUGCUGCAGUCUCUCAUAGCCAGCUUGGUUGCAAAGGAACUCCAUCUGCUUUGCCAUCACCUUUUCAGGCUGCUACUGAAAGUGGACUCACAGAGGGCUGUGUUCCAGUGGACACGUUAUUCAUUCCGUCUAAGCAGAAGGAUUCCAACCUCACUUACUAACUAGCUGAAGAAACGUUUCCCUAGAGAUUUCAUUCCAAAUGGUAGGUUCCCUAAGGCACACCUAAGCUAGCAGGCGAUCUUUUUCUCCAUGUCCAUCUCAUAUAUUCUAGGAAUUAAAGUUCAAAAUCUGUUUUUUAAUGUUUAACAUACCCUGUAAGGAGGAACACUAUUUAAGGACAACAGAUUAUCUUGAUUACUUCUAUGCAAUGUGUAUACUGCUAUUUUUUUUUUUAAAUCAAAUAAGUAACUAACUAUCCUUUAAGGGGGAACAACCUACUACAUAAAUAAGAGCUUUCCAGGUAGAAAAAUCAGACAAGUCAAUGAAUUAUAACUUCAUUCCACCCAAGCCUUCAUGUAUAGAUCAGGAAAACACAGUAUUUAGGAACGAAAGAUCUUACUGAGCUUGAACAAAGCACUACUUGUAUUAGUGUACCCUAAUGCAUUAAUAGUGACAAGCAAAAAAAUGUUUCUCUUUCCUUUACAUGUCAAAUUAUUUUGAUGUUAUUUUAUUUUAUCUGCUCAACAUUACAUUUCUUUUUGUUCACUGUAAAAAUUAUGUUUUUAAGACGGAAAAAGCCAGCAAUCUGGCACGUAUGCUUAUUGUUAUAAAGGAUUUCAGAACGCUUAAAGAUUUGAAAAAAGAGAAAAACUUGUCUCAUUAGUUUGGGCCUUGUAAUUAGAAAUCUGUUACACUUUAAAAUGGGCUAAGCUUAAGUUUAUUUGUACGUUACUUAAAAACUUUUUUUCCUUUGUUUGAGACAAGGUUGUGCUCUGUUGCCCGGGCUGGAGUGCAGUGGUGCAGUGAUUCUCCCACCUCAGCCUCCUGAUUAGCUGGGACUACAGGCGCAUGCCAUCAUGCCUGGCUAAUUUUUGUAAGGAUGGGGUUUUGCCAUGUUGCCCAGGCUGGUCUCAAACUCCUGGACUCAAGCAAUCCACCUGCCUCAGCCUCCCAAAGUGCUGGGAUUACAGUCAUAAGCCACCAUGCUCAGCCUUGUGUAUUACUUUCUUUAAAUAGAAAAUAACAAGCUGAGAAUCACAAGAGAAAGACUCAAAUGAAAUGAGAAAAAGUAUGUUAAAAUAAUUCUAAAUUCUUUCUAGUUUUAUUUAUGAGGUCCUUUGUGUCAAUCACAUUCCCUAGACAAACUUAUUGUUCUCUAAACAUGCUUAGUAUUUUCUUACCUCUGUCUUUGCCCAUGCUAGUCUAUCUUUAUAAUGCCACCCCAAUCCCCUCCCCACAUCGCUACCUUUUGAAAUUCUACCCUUCUUUUAAAAACCCAGCUCAAAUUACACCUUCCCAAUAGUCUUCCCUGAUCUCUUCUCAUACCAGAAAUUCUCCCUCUCCCCAGAAGCCAUAUAGAAGGUAGACAUAAAGCACCAGUACUUGGUGAAAAGUUUUAAGGGAGUGGUAACUUUAUACAGCCAGUACUAUCUACCUCAUAACAGCUUCCAGAAAUAGUUCUGGUAUCUCAAAUUUGACUUAUAGUACAGCACAGACAAGGAUUCAUACCAAUACUAUAUAUUUUGCAAAGGAUUACACCAUCUACAUGUGUAGGUAUACAUACACACAAGACACACACACGUUCAAGAGAUACUGAUGACCUGCAAUACACAAGUGCUUUUUAAGAAAGAGGAACAGAACAAAAUUAAAAACAAACCAACAACAAAAAAGUGAGCCACUGUCCUAAAUUCAAAGGUGUAGUUACUACUUAUUUCUGGGAAACAAAAUCAAAAGUCUAGUGUCUAUAAAAGCAUUUAAAGAAGCCUGGGGCCGAUUGUCGCUUGUCUUAUUUAGGAAGGGUUAGAAGAGUUAUUCACAGGGAAAAGUAACACUGAUUAUCUUAAUUUUGAAUCCAGAGCUGUUCAAGUGGCUUUGUGACCUCCAGUAAACCAAUAAACUAACCAUAUAGAACUAUAACUCAAGUAUCUCUAGUGGAGUAUAUUUAAAGGAACAGAAAGGUCAUAUUUAAUGUUACAGCCCAACACUUUGUGCUUCUAAUAAGAAACUGAAAGCACUGUAAUGAAAUACAAGGCCUCUGAGAGGGUCAGAAAGACUUAACCAAUAAAACUCAUCAAGAAACAACUGCAGCUCAAACAGUCCAUGAGAUUCAUGAUCACAAAUUUCAAUAUUUAGUGACCUCUAAAGCUAGACAAGCGUGGCUUAAAUGUGAGCAGCCUGAAUCAUGAUCACACUUAGGGCCAAUGGUGAAAAAUAGAUAAAGACAUAUUUCUAGCCUAGCAACUGACUAAUUUUUUGGCCCCUGGGUAGUUUCUGUGCUUUCUUUCCUCUCAACCCUCCAAUGGCACAUGCCUUCUUAGCAGUUUCUAUGUUCACCUGCCUUUCCCUUUCAGUGGCAGUGAGUCAUUAACAGCCAAAUCCAGAAGGACCCUCUGUUACCCUGUUAUCUGGGGGAGCAAGAGAUAAAACAUCUCACUAGUUAUAUCAUCUUUCAAUGUAGCCUUUUAGAUAAUUUCAACAUUUUCUGAGUUAACCAUCUUAAACAUUAUUCCAGAGCUAACGGUGAGGUAGGUUACAAAUAUAAGUACUUUUUUGGGGGUAGAGGCAGGGUCUCCCCAUGUUGCCCAGGCUGGUCUCGACCUCCUGAGCUCAAGCAAUCCUUCUGUCUUGGCCUCCCGAAGUGUUGGGAUUACAGGUGUGAGCCACCAUACCCAGCCCACAUUUCUUUUUUUAAUGUGGCUUUUUGUUUUUGACAAAAUACUUCUCUUCUUGAGAACCACUGCUUUCGGAUAAAGUGUUUAUAAGUCAAAGAUGCUUAUCUGCAGCCAUUCAUUAUUUCAUUCUACAGAUUUUAUUAAGUGCCUAUUAGGUGCAAGGCUGUUACAAACUCUAAGUAUACAGCAGCAGAUUCACAGAUAAGAGACCUAUUCUCAUCUAAUGGGGCAGACUGAUAAUAAAUUUAAAACAAGUAUCUAACAGUUUCAAAUACUGGCGAAUGCUAUGAAAACAAACCAGGAGAAUAAGCCUGAGUGUGAUUUUGGGGAGAGGGUGCCCCUUUAGAAAGGGAGGCAGGGAAGUCAGGGGAAACUUGGCUGUGACUUGAAGCCAUCUAAAGAAACAGAAGUCUAGGUAGGGGGAAAACAGUGAGUGUUGAGGCAUAAAUGAGUUUGGCAUGUUCAGGAACAGAAAGUCAGUCAGUGCGGCUGGAACACAGUAAGAAUGGAGAGUGUGGCAGCAGACAAGGUAGGAGAUGCAAGCUACAGUCAGAUCAUGUGGGGUCUUAGAUCCUUUAAAAAAAAAGUUUAGAUUUUAUUCCAGGUACAGUGGAAAGCCACUGAAAGGAUUUAAGCAAGAAAGGGAUUUAUGUUUUUAUAAGAUAACUCUGGCUUUGAUAUGAAUAAAGGAUUACUGCCAUAUAAAUAGAUACUCUGUAGAUAUAACUGAUGACAGAAAUUUAGGGUGGUCAAGCAUAGGUUAUUUGCUUUAACUUGAAAUUAAAUAAUAGGAUGGCUAAGAGAACACUGACCUCUAUCCCCUGCCUAAAACAAAAAGAAAGGAAGGAGCCACCUGACCAGAUUUCCACUCUGCUGCAAACUAGACUUUUUAAAAAGUAUUUGUAAGAAACAAUAGUUCUGAAACCAUUCUAUAGUUCUGAGAGUCCUAAGUAUGUUUUUCUUAACUCCCACCUUACCACUUGCAAAUCUAAAAUCAAAAGAGCAGCCUCAACCGUGACACUCUAAAAGAGGCUUUAGUUACAGUAAAGUCUCUGUAAUUUAUAGCUACUAAAUUAUCAUUUCCCUUAGAUAGUUAAUAUAAAGAAACGAAAAGUUAGCUCCUCUGUAUUUGAUGACUAAUGAUGUAAAUACAACUAUAAAAGGAAUGGUUUAACCCAUGAAGUUUUAAAUCUGUAAGAAACACCGAUUGCAAAUCAACCUUUGAUAAAUUGACUGGACUAGUCACCACAGUUUUCUUUUAAGAAUUUCCUGGGACUAGGCAUGGUGGUUCACACCUGUAAUCCCAGAACUUUGGGAGGCCAAGGAGGGAGGAUCACUUGAGCCCAGGAGUUUGAGUGCAAGACCAGCCUGGGCAACAUAGCGAGACCACAUCUCUACAUGAAAAAAAAGUUUAAAAAAAUUUUCCUUGGUCUGCUAAUUCAAAUUACUGUAAAUAUUGUAUUUCAAGGUAACAAAAUUCUAUAUUUUUAAAAGAUUUAUUGAAAGCCAUUUUUCACUAGUUUAUGGGACCAUCUUUUUUGUCUGAACUAGUUAAGAUUUUGCUUGAUCUUAAAACAAAAGCAAACAUUAUCAGCAUAAGAAAAUGUAAUAUAUGACCAUACCUCCACUUUAAUUCUCUUUGGGGAUAAUUCAUCUCUUUCUCCACAUUUUGACCUAAGGGAAAGGGGAGAGAAAAAAAAAGAAAAACUUGAGAAAGUAACUGAUUUUAUUCCAAAGGCAUCUCAGCCUAUAACCUUCCACCAAAACAUAUACCCUGAAACUCCAACAACAGAAAUGACAUAUUCAUAAUGAACAUUAAAAUAAUGAAGAAAAGAUCUUUCAUCAUUUCCAAGUUAACACUAGGGGAAGGUAUAGAUACAAUUAUACAUUUUAAAAGGCCACUACCUAAGAACUCACCACCUCUGGCUUUGGUAUGAAAGCCACUCAAUAAUUUUUUUUUUUAAAGAUGGGGUCUCACUAUGUUCAACCCAGACUAGCCACAAACUCCUAGGCUCAAGUGAUCCUCCCACCUCAGCCUCCCAAAUUGCUGGGAUUACAGGCGUGAGCCACUGUGCCCAGCCUAGCACUUAAUAAAUAUUUAAUGAUCAUCACAUAAUGAAAAAAAAAUCAAGGAGGAUAUCCCUUUAUGGUUCAGUAGGAAUAAUUUAGGAUAAAAUGACUAAAAUGACCACUUAAGAUGUAUGUUUAUGGCUACAUGAGAUUAAAAUGCAUU